AAACGGUCCGAGGGAAUAGGAGAGACCGGUUGAAUGGAAUUUGCCGCUCUUUCUCGAACUCUACUGGGUGGGAGCGGGAUCAAAUCCCUCUCACAUCCAAAUAACAUGGACGAAUGGAACCAGGCCCCACACUUGAUUCAUUGGAAAGAGAACAUUUAUAUAGUUUAAAUUUGAAAAAUUUUCUUCGUCAGUUGUUAUGACCUCUUGUCUCUAUUGGUUCUGGACGUCUUAUGUUUUAAUAUUUGCGAAACAGCACUAUUGAGUAGGCAUCGAGAUAGACGUAUAGCAAGUUCACCAAAAAAAAAGAUAGACAUUCUGUUCUUACUAGGCUCAAAACCUGAAAUAG
rnacentral:lncRNA from 1 species